AAUUUUGGACAAUGGGGGAAACCCUGAUCCAGCCAUCCCGCGUGUAUGAAGAAGGCCNNNGGGUCNUAAAGCUCUGUCCUAAGNGAANAAACGGACGGUACCUUAGGAGGAAGCCCCGGCUAACUACGUGCCAGCAGCCGCGGUAAUACGUAGGGUGCAAGCGUUAAUCGGAAUUACUGGGCGUAAAGCGUGUGUAGGCGGUUCGGAAAGAAAGAUGUGAAAUCCCAGGGCUCAACCUUGGAACUGCAUUUUUAACUGCCGAGCUAGAGUAUGUCAGAGGGGGGUAGAAUUCCACGUGUAGCAGUGAAAUGCGUAGAUAUGUGGAGGAAUACCGAUGGCGAAGGCAGCCCCCUGGGAUAAUACUGACGCUCAGACACGAAAGCGUGGGGAGCAAACAGG
rnacentral:rRNA from 1 species